rnacentral:rRNA from 1 species
AUUGAACGCUGGCGGCAGGCCUAACACAUGCAAGUCGAGCGGAUGAAGGGAGCUUGCUUCUGGAUUCAGCGGCGGACGGGUGAGUAAUGCCUAGGAAUCUGCCUGGUAGUGGGGGAUAACGUCCGGAAACGGGCGCUAAUACCGCAUACGUCCUGAGGGAGAAAGUGGGGGAUCUUCGGACCUCACGCUAUCAGAUGAGCCUACGUCGGAUUAGCUAGUUGGUGGGGUAAAGGCCUACCAAGGCGACGAUCCGUAACUGGUCUGAGAGGAUGAUCAGUCACACUGGAACUGAGACACGGUCCAGACUCCUACGGGAGGCAGCAGUGGGGAAUAUUGGACAAUUGGCGAAAGCCUGAUCCAGCCAUGCCGCGUGUGUGAAGAAGGUCUUCGGAUUGUAAAGCACUUUAAGUUGGGAGGAAGGGCAGUAAGUUAAUACCUUGCUGUUUUGACGUUACCAACAGAAUAAGCACCGGCUAACUUCGUG